UUUUAAUGUUAAUAUUCAUCUUACAUACAUACAUAGGCUAUCUUUAAGUUUGUUUGUUGUUUUGCAGACCAUCUAUUCAGAGCACGACCUGCAUUUUUCACUGCAGCUGAACACCUGGUUUUGGAUUUUCUCCUAGCAACAGUUCUUCUGAAUUGUUCUUUCCACCCAUCAACCUCAACCUACCAACCCCCCCCCCC